rnacentral:ncRNA from 1 species
GGACAGGCUUAAAUUUAGGUCACUUUUGUGGUAACACAAAAAGUUAUAACCCAUUGAAUUGCUGGAAAACCCUAAAGGCAACAAAACCACAGCAUAACGAUGAAACAAGCGUAGGUGCGAUGGUGGCGAAAGCAGAAAAAAUUCGUUGUAUAGCGCAAGGUUAAAUCCUAAACGCUAAAUAAUAGGCAAUCAGCAGCCAAGCCUCGAACAGAGGAAGGUUCAACGACUAUCCCGUAAGGGAGUAGGGCGCAAGCGAUUGGCGACUCGAAGUGGUGGGCAUCCGAAAAGGAUGAAGAUAUAGUCUAGUACUCGUUGAAAGACGAGA